rnacentral:tmRNA from 1 species
GGGGGUGCAUUGGAAUUCGACUGGGAAAUGGGAAGGUAGCGCAGCAAGCUUGGGGUGAUUGAAGGGCCCAGUAAAAAAUCAAUCGAACUGUAAUUGCUAACAACAGCGAAUACAACCUGAACGAAGUGGCUCUAGCCGCUUAAGUUCAGCAAUCUGGCCCCGGACGCAAGUCUCGGGCUGGACGGGAGCAGACUGGACGCCUCGUAAGGCCUGUCUCUUGUAACUAAAACGAGGCUGGAUUCGGGUGGUGUCGAUACACCCCAAUCAAGAUCAAAAACGACUGGUCACCUCUGAGCCUGUCCGGCAGCAACAUGAGGGGGCGAGAUGCGAGAGACGGACUAAGCUUGUAGAAACCUAUCAGACCGCUCCACAGGACGGGGGUUCGACUCCCCCCACCUCCACCA